UGUUGGUUUCAAUUACACAUACACUCAAAGUGGGAUAUCCAAACAUACGGGCAUCGAGUCAAAUGCACUUCCUCACAAGCAUCCUCAGGCUUUAUGGAAUUUAUUCCCAAUCCUGGGGAAAAAGGGUGGUCCUCCAGUCCCAAAUGCCAUUGCGCAAGGGGUGGCUGUCGAGCUGAACCUGUUUGAGGCCCUGACUUGACGUGGCCCUGAGGUGUCGUGAGGCAGACAGCAGAGAUAAUGACUUGACGUGGCUCUGAGGUGUCGUGAGGCAGAGGUCAAGAGUGCGACGGCAGGCAAUAAAGUUUCAGCAAUUUUUGUUGUUUACUUGGUUUGGUGUCUAAGCUAGAGUUUAUAGCAACUAAAUCCUGAAGUUUGGUUUGACUGUAUCCGCUCAAGGAAGCCAGGUGAUGUGUAUGUGUAAACCAGGGACAAUUAUAUCUGAAUCUUGACUGGGCUGUUUGUGGUUGCAUAUAGCCUACGAAUGGUUUUGCUGCUCUCAUGUGCUAUGGUAACUUAGCUUGUCUAUAAUCUGUCCGGGUGUUGUUUUCAGUUGCAGAUGUUAGGGAAAUGCAAAAUGGCUGUGAAGUCGAAGAUGCAAGGUUUUGAUUUGUGCAUUACUAAUGAUGUAUGUUGCUCGUUUAGAGAGCUUCGCUU